rnacentral:rRNA from 1 species
CCUACGGGGAAGCAGCAGUGGGGAAUCUUAGACAAUGGGCGCAAGCCUGAUCUAGCCAUGCCGCGUGUGUGAUGAAGGUCUUAGGAUCGUAAAGCACUUUCGCCAGGGAUGAUAAUGACAGUACCUGGUAAAGAAACCCCGGCUAACUCCGUGCCAGCAGCCGCGGUAAUACGGAGGGGGUUAGCGUUGUUCGGAAUUACUGGGCGUAAAGCGUACGUAGGCGGAUUGGAAAGUUGGGGGUGAAAUCCCAGGGCUCAACCCUGGAACUGCCUCCAAAACUAUCAGUCUAGAGUUCGAGAGAGGUGAGUGGAAUUCCAAGUGUAGAGGUGAAAUUCGUAGAUAUUUGGAGGAACACCAGUGGCGAAGGCGGCUCACUGGCUCGAUACUGACGCUGAGGUACGAAAGUGUGGGGAGCAAACAGGAUUAGAUACCCUGGUAGUCCACACCGUAAACGAUGAAUGCCAGUCGUCGGGCAGUAUACUGUUCGGUGACACACCUAACGGAUUAAGCAUUCCGCCUGGGGAGUACGGUCGCAAGAUUAAAACUCAAA